GCAGAUAUUAAUCACCCUCAAAUAGAAGGGCAAUUAAUGUGUCAAGAUCAACUCACAAAUGUAGGCGUGGCCUGUGCACAGGGAAGCUGUUCUGAGAACACUCCCGCCCCAUAACUGCUUUUGUUAUAAUGAAAUCAAUGGUUAGGAAUAGUUAAGGUUCAUUAUCACAUUACAUCUUGAAAGACAACAGUACCUCUCUGCUCGUCAUGAUGAAUCUCCUUUCUCUGGUUGUCCUCUGUCUACUCAGCAGCACAGCUGGAGCUCUUCAGUGUCAAACGUGCACCGACGCGAACUGUUUGAGUACGACCCUAGCCACAUGCAACACAGAAACCUCGUGCAUAACGGCCACCGCUCAGGUAACACAAUUUAACGGGGCAUCACAAACUAGAACAAAUCAGACCUACAAAGCCUGUGCAGCACCCCAACUGUGUCAAUCCAUGGGGAACCAGAUUUACGCGAUCGACGAAAGUAUCGAAGAUGUACUCAUCAGCUCUCGGUGCUGCAACACAGACAACUGCAACUCCGAGACUCUUGCUGUUCCAGUUAAAAACACAACAGAGAAUGGCCGAGAGUGUCACUUUUGUUUUCGGAAAAUAUGUGAUAUUAUUAUAAGAUGUAAAGGAAACGAGGACAGAUGUUACGAGGCGAGAGUGGCGUCAGGUAACAACACUUCUACAGUCGGGGGCUGCGUAUCCCAAAAUGUGUGUGACCUUGCUCCUGGUCUGUGGUCAACCCCGAUUGUGCGAACCAUUGCAAACUUUACCGCUGUACCAACCUGCUGCAGUGGCAACUUGUGUAACGAUCUUACUGCAGCAACUGCUUCAGCAUCUAAUGCAACUGUGGCAACAUCUGGAGCAUCUAAUGCAUCUACGGCAGCGUCUGGAGCAUCUAAUGCAUCUACGGCAGCGUCUGGAGCAUCUAAUGCAUCUACGGCAGCGUCUGGAGCCCCUGGGGAAGUGACAAUACAUUCUCAUUUCCUCAGGCUAAGCAUGACACAAGUGUUUUUUGGCCUCUUUUCGGUGAUUUUAUGGUAAAUCUAAUCAUGACAAUAUGUUUUUGUUGUCAAUCACACAGUUAAAUCACUUCAAACUGGCAAAAAUGCAAAGCACAGUAAAAGCGGCAGUCAGUGAUUAAGAAAUUAUACAUUUUAAGGGAGUGAAAAUCUUUGUUUCUCUGUGGCAGGUUCACAAUUUAUGUAUUUGAAGCAAGGUCUAAGCAAAAAGGGAGACAACAGCUUUUUAAUAAUGACAUUAUCCCUCACAGGUGUUACUGAAGGAAACAAUUCAGUGUCUUUAGUAUUAUUUUGCUGCACAUUUUGUUGAAUAUUGUAAUUUUUUUUCUGCUGUCUUCUUUUUGUUAUCUUCUUUCUUUAUCAAACUUCUAAGAUUGCAUUCAUGCAUGAUAGAGGACUGUAGAGCUAUUGCUACAACCCAGCAACAUGCAACAGUCCUAUUGAUAUGUGAUACAUUAUUGUGACCAUGAGUACCUACUUACAUUCAUUAAGCUUCUGUAAAGAUGGAUGUACAUUUUAAAUAAAGGCAAAGAAAUACUUGGUCUCCUUGUGUUU
ensembl:lncRNA phospholipase A2 inhibitor and Ly6/PLAUR domain-containing protein-like